rnacentral:rRNA from 1 species
AUUGAACGCUGGCGGCAGGCCUAACACAUGCAAGUCGAGCGAGCGGCGGACGGGUGAGUAAUGUCUGGGAAACUGCCUGAUGGAGGGGGAUAACUACUGGAAACGGUAGCUAAUACCGCAUACUAUCAGAUGUGCCCAGGUGGGAUUGGCUAGUAGGUGGGGUAACGGGUCACCUAGGCGACGAUCCCUAGCUGGUCUGAGAGGAGGACCAGCGACACUGGAACGGGGACACGGUCAAGACGCCUACGGGAGGCAGCAGUGGGGAAUAGUGCGCAAUGGGCGCAAGCCUGAUGCAGCCAGGCCGCGUGUGUGAAGAAGGCCUUCGGGUUGUAAAGCACUUACAGCGGGGAGGCGGUACCCGCAGAAGAAGCACCGGCUAACUCCGUGCCAGCAGCCGCGGUAAUAC